rnacentral:rRNA from 1 species
UACGAAGGGGGCUAACGUUGCUCGGAAUCACUGGGCGUAAAGCGCACGUAGGCGGAUUGUUAAGUCAGGGGUGAAAUCCUGGAGCUCAACUCCAGAACUGCCUUUGAUACUGGCGAUCUUGAGUCCGGGAGAGGUGAGUGGAACUGCGAGUGUAGAGGUGAAAUUCGUAGAUAUUCGCAAGAACACCAGUGGCGAAGGCGGCUCACUGGCCCGAUACUGACGCUGAGGCACGAAAGCGUGGGGAGCAAACAGG